rnacentral:lncRNA from 1 species
GACAUGGAGAUCUGUGCAGAUGAGCUCAAGAAGGUCCUUAACACAGUCGUGAACAAACACAAGGACCUGAAGACACACGGGUUCACACUGGAGUCCUGCCGUAGCAUGAUUGCGCUCAUGGAUACAGAUGGCUCUGGAAAGCUCAACCUGCAGGAGUUCCACCACCUCUGGAACAAGAUUAAGGCCUGGCAGGUGGGAAGAGAAAAUGAAGCGUGGGAGUCAAGAAUGGGGUUGAUUUGGAGAUUCAGUGUGUGACCUCCAUCCUCAAAUUUUCUAUUGCCAGAAAAUUUUCAAACACUAUGACACAGACCAGUCCGGCACCAUCAACAGCUACGAGAUGCGAAAUGCAGUCAACGACGCAGGAUUCCACCUCAACAACCAGCUCUAUGACAUCAUUACCAUGCGGUACGCAGACAAACACAUGAACAUCGACUUUGACAGUUUCAUCUGCUGCUUCGUUAGGCUGGAGGGCAUGUUCAGAGCUUUUCAUGCAUUUGACAAGGAUGGAGAUGGUAUCAUCAAGCUCAACGUUCUGGAGUGGCUGCAGCUCACCAUGUAUGCCUGAACCAGGCUGGCCUCAUCCAAAGCCAUGCAGGAUCACUCAGGAUUUCAGUUUCACCCUCUAUUUCCAAAGCCAUUUACCUCAAAGGACCCAGCAGCUACACCCCUACAGGCUUCCAGGCACCUCAUCAGUCAUGCUCCUCCUCCAUUUUACCCCCUACCCAUCCUUGAUCGGUCAUGCCUAGCCUGACCCUUUAGUAAAGCAAUGAGCGAGUGCUCCUGCUUACCUUGCUCUAGGCUGUCUGCAGAAGCACCUGCCGGUGGCACUCAGCACCUCCUUGUGCUAGAGCCCUCCAUCACCUUCACGCUGUCCCACCAUGGGCCAGGAACCAAACCAGCACUGGGUUCUACUGCUGUGGGGUAAACUAACUCAGUGGAAUAGGGCUGGUUACUUUGGGC